CCGGAUGCUUGAUUGAACCGCAUGGUUCAAUCAUAAAAGGUGGCUUUUAGCUACCACUURCAGAUGGACCCGCGGCGCAUUAGCUAGUUGGUGAGGUAACGGCUCACCAAGGCGACGAUGCGUAGCCGACCUGAGAGGGUGAUCGGCCACACUGGGACUGAGACACGGCCCAGACUCCUACGGGAGGCAGCAGUAGGGAAUCUUCCGCAAUGGACGAAAGUCUGACGGAGCAACGCCGCGUGAGUGAUGAAGGUUUUCGGAUCGUAAAACUCUGUUGUUAGGGAAGAACAAGUACCGUUCGAAUAGGGCGG
rnacentral:rRNA from 1 species